rnacentral:rRNA from 1 species
UACGGGGGGGGGUAAGCGUUGUUCGGAAUUACUGGGCGUAAAGGGCUCGUAGGCGGCCAACUAAGUCAGACGUGAAAUCCCUCAGCUUAACUGGGGAACUGCGUCUGAUACUGGAUGGCUUGGAUUCGGGAGAGGAAUGCGGAAUUCCAGGUGUAGCGGUGAAAUGCGUAGAUAUCGGGAGGAACAUCAGUGGCGAAGGCGGCUGCCUGGCCCAAUACUGACACUCAGGUGCGACAGCGUGGGGAGCAAACAGG